rnacentral:rRNA from 1 species
AUGCAAGACGAACGGGAAACCUUUUAUUGAAGCUUCGGCAGAUUUAGAUUGUUUCUAGUGGCGGACGGGUGAGUAACGCGUGGGUAACCUGCCUUGUACAGGGGGAUAACAGUCAGAAAUGACUGCUAAUACCGCAUAAGUGCACAGGACCGCAUGGUCCGGUGUGAAAAACUCCGGUGGUAUAAGAUGGACCCGCGUUGGAUUAGCUAGUUGGUGGGUAACGGCCCACCAAGGCGACGAUGCGUAGCCGACCUGAGAGGGUGACCGGCCACACUGGGACUGAGACACGGCCCAGACUCCUACGGGAGGCAGCAGUAGGGAAUUUUCGGCAAUGGGGGAAACCCUGACCGAGCAACGCCGCGUGAAGGAAGAAGUAAUUCGUUAUGUAAACUUCUGUCAUAGGGGAAGAACGGUGCGUGUAGGGAAUGACAUGCAAGUGACGGUACUCUAUAAGAAAGCCACGGCUAACUACGUGCCAGCAGCCGCGGUAAUACGUAGGUGGCGAGCGUUAUCCGGAAUUAUUGGGCGUAAAGAGGGAGCAGGCGGCACUAAGGGUCUGUGGUGAAAGAUCGAAGCUUAACUUCGGUAAGCCAUGGAAACCGUAGAGCUAGAGUGUGUGAGAGGAUCGUGGAAUUCCAUGUGUAGCGGUGAAAUGCGUAGAUAUAUGGAGGAACACCAGUGGCGAAGGCGACGAUCUGGCGCAUAACCGACGCUCAGUCCCGAAAGCGUGGGGAGCAAAUAGGAUUAGAUACCCUAGUAGUCCACGCCGUAAACG